CUAACAUUCAAAAACACCCCGGCAACAUUCACGCUGACAAUCCUAUUUCUUUCCGUGCCUGCAUGCCGUCUAAAAUGAGACGUGGUAUCUACGCCAUGUCGAGUGUGCGCUGUGUGUAGGCCACAGCCGCGCGGUGGAAGAGAUCCCUGGAGUUUCCACAGGAGAAGACUCUAUUUAAAGACAGGCAGACAGGCGGGAGCGGUGGACGGGCAGGGAGGGGAAUGGAAGAUCUCAGAUUUCAUUAUGAAGGCACCGGUGGUUCUGCAUUUGUAUCCAUCUGGAAUCCAGGAGAUGAAAUGGAGCAGUUCCUCAGUGUCCAAAUCACGAAGGACUUAAAAUGGACCACUCACACAUGCACAGUCGGGAAGAAGGCGCAACCUCUAUAUCAGGCGGAGUGAAAGGAAGGCCCGGACUCCAGCCACCCAAUCGAUAGAUUGUUCUUUCUGCUUCCGCACGGCACGCGGUAGCAGUGCAACAAGUCUGACACCAACAGGCUCCUGAACAACUUCUAUCCUUAAUCCAUAAGACCGCGCUAAAUAGCUCGCACAAUUGCUACACAGACUGAGUUUACCCUUGUAUUUUAUUUUAAUCUCUAUGCACACUCACAGGACUCUACACGCUCACGCACACUGACACUCCUACACACACAUAACAUGCACACACAUUUAUACUGACUCUACACACGCACACACACUCACAUACAAUCAGAAUUUAUGCUGCUGCUACUCUUUUUAUCAUAUACUGUCACGUCCUGACCAUAGUAAGAUGUGACUUUCUAUGGUAGAGUAGGUCAGGGCGUGACAGGGGGUGUUUUGUGUUUUUCUAUUUUUUCUAUUUCUGUGUUGUUGUUUUUUUGGGUUGAUCUCCAAUUGGAGGCAGCUGGUCCUCGUUACCUCUGAUUGGAGAUCAUAUUUAAGUAGGGGUUUUUCUUCCUGGGUUUUGUGGGUGAUUAUAUUUUGAGUAGUGUUUGUUUCUCUCUGCGUCACGGUUUGUUGUUUUGUCAAGUCAGUUAUUUAUGUUUUUGCAAAGUUUCACGGAUUUAAUAAAAUGUGGAACUACAACCACGCUGCACUUUGGUCCGCUCCUUUUGACAGCCGUGACACAAUCACCCACCACAAAAGGACCAAGCAGCGUGCCCAGGAGGAGCAGGGAUCCUGGGCUCGGGAGAAGAGAGAAUGGAGGACGUCCUGGACCUGGGAGGAGGUAAUGGCAGGGGACAAGACCCUGCCAUGGAAGUAGGUGGAAACGGCGCAAGCGGAACGGCGAUGCUAUGAGGAGCUAGCCCAACGACGGAAGCCCGAG
rnacentral:lncRNA from 1 species